CCCGUUACCUUCGCUCAAAGUUUCUGAGUCCCAGGUUGCCCGUUAGUUGUACGAAGCAUUUUUGCUUGUAAUUGACCUAGCGGUGGACGGGUGAGUAAGGGACGUAGGCAACCUGCCCACAAGACAGGGAUAACUACUGGAAACGGUUUCUAAUACCCUAUUCAUCCUUUUUCUGCAUGGGAGAAGGAGGAUAGGCGUAGCAAUGUGUCACUUGUUGAUGGGCCUGCGGCGCACUUAGCUAGUUGGUGUGGGUAAUGGCCUACCCAGGCGACGAUGCGUAUCCGCCCUGAGAGGGUGGUCGGCCUCACUUGGACUGAUACCCCGGCGCAGACUCCUUCGGGGAGUCGGCAGUUGGGAAUCUUCCGCAAUGGGCGCCAGCCUGACGGAGCAACGCCGGGUGAGUGAUGUUGGUUUUCGGAUCGUAAAGCUCUGUUGCCGGGGAUGAACGUCUUGUUGAGUACCUGUUUUACGAUUGACGGUACCUGAGAAUAAAGUCUCUGCUAACUACGUGCCAGCAGCCGCGUUAAUACGUGGGGGGCAAGCGUUUGUCCGGAAUUAUUGGGCGCUAAAGCGCGUUCAGGGGGCUCUUUAAUUCUGGUGUUUAUUCCCGAGGCUCACCUUCGGGUCCGCACUGGAAACUGGGGAGCUUGAGUGCAGAAGAGGAGAGUGGAAUUCCCCGUGUAGCGGUGAAAUGCGUAGAGAUGUGGAGGAACACCAGUGGCGAAGGCGACUCUCUGCGGCUGUAACUGACGCUGAGGCGCGAAUGCGUGGGCGAGCAAACAGGAUUAGAUACCCCUGGUGGUCCCCGCCGUAAACGAUGAAUGCUAGGUGUUUGGGGUUUUGAUACCCUUUGUUCCGAAGUUAACACAUUUAGCAAUUUUCGCCUGGGGAGUACUGUUUCACGACUUUGAUUUACUCAAAGGAAUAUAUUGGAGAGCCCGCCCAAGCAGUGGUAUUAUGUGGUUUUUUAUUCGAGGAAGCGCGAGACCACUACCUAUGUCUGGACAUGCGGGCUCUGACCGGCAUGUGGGGAUGGGGGUUUCUUCUGGACGAGGACACAGUA
rnacentral:rRNA from 1 species